rnacentral:rRNA from 1 species
ACUGGUUGAUGCUGCCAGAGCCGGCCACUAUUGGUUUGGGCUAAGUCAUGUUAGUAUAAAGGCUUCGGCCUUUGCGAAAAGCUCAGGAACGCGUUGUUAACCUGCCCUCAAGUCCGUCAUAAUCACGAGAAAUUGUGGCUAAUAACGGAUAGACAAGGAUCCCUGGAAUGGACCAUUGUCUAAAGCUCCGGCGCUUGAGGAUGGGACUGCGCCCGAUCAGCUAGUAAGUAGUGUAACGGACUACUUAGGCUAUAACCGGUAAUAGCUUCUAACGAAGUGGCUAUGAGACUGGUACUGAGACAACGACCAGGCCCCUACGGGGUCCAGCAGACGAGAAUUCUACACAAUGCACGAAAGUGUGAUGUGGCCAGACCAGGUGAUACUCUCACGGGUAUCUGUUGCCGAGUGUAAACAGCUCGGUGAGGAAGGAGAAGGCAAGGAUGGUGCCAGCAGCUGCGGUAAAACCAUCUCUCCGAGUGGACGGUUGCUUUAUUUGGCCUAAAGCGUGCGCAGCCGGGAAGAGAAGUCUUCGGUGAAAUCUGUCAGCUUAACUGCCAGAAUUGCUGGAGAAACCAUCUUUCUUGGGAUUGGAAGAGGUAAGCGGUACUAUCAGGGGAGCGGUGAAAUGCGUAGAUCCUGAUGGGACCACCUAUGGCGUAGGCAGCUUACUGGUACAACUCCGACGGUCAUGCACGAAAGCCAGGGGAGCGAAUGGGAUUAGAUAUCCCAGUAGUCCUGGCCGUAAACGAUGCCCUCUAAGUGUUGGGAGAUUUACUUCCAGUGCUGUAGUGAAGACGUUAAGAGGGCCGCCUGGGGAGUACGGUCGCAAGGCUGAAACUUAAAGCAAUUGACGGGGCUCUACCGGAACGCGUGAGACUUGCGGCUUAAUUGGAUUCAACGCCAGAAAUCUUACCUGAGCCGGCUCUACUAAUGAUUGUCAGCUUGAUGAGCUUACUUGAGGUAGUAGCCAGGUAGUGCAUGGCCCGCUCAAGCUCGUGCCGUCAGGUGUUUGCUUAAGUGCAAAAACGUGGCGCAACCGGAACCUCUACUUGCCAGCGAUGCCUUCGGGCAGUUCGGGAACCUUAGAGGGAUCGCCAUUGAUAAAAUGGAUGAAAGUGCCGUCCAGGCGAGGUCCGUAUGCUCCGUACGCUCAGGGCCGCACGCGAGUCGCAAUGGCAGGAACAAUGAGAUGCUACGCCGAGAGGCGACGCCAACCUCGAAAUCCUGUCUCAGUUAGAAUCGUGGACUGUAAGCGUCCACGUGAAUGUGGAAUGCGUAGUAAUGGUGCUUCAUUAUGGCACCGUGAAUACUCCCCUGGAGCUUGCACACACCGCCCGUCGCUUGAAACGAGGAUGCUAUUGGUGAGGCCUGGUCUGAUCGAUCAGAACGAGCCUGUGGUAUUUGAGUGGCAAGAAGUCGUAACAAGGUG